CAAGAAUACACUGAAGUUGUGGUAUCUUCCCAUCCAAGAGUGAGCAGGACCCCAUGUGGUGCUGGAGACAGAUGAGAGGAGCUUGAAAGAAGGAAGCCGUGGGAAUGCCUGGCCAAGGCAUUUGACCAACAGUGACUUGAGAGCUGUGGGACCCUCACGAGAUGCCGCAGAUAGAAUACCUGACCAAAACCACUUACAGAUGGUAGAGUUUAUUUUACUUUGGCUCAUAUAUCAUUGGCAUGAAGUCAUGGCAUCAGGAAUGUGCGACAACUGGUUCCACUUCACCUACCAGCAAGAAGCAUAGAGAGGAGAUUACAGUUAAUAGAGUACAUGAAUCUCAGAAGAGACUUUGAACUUUAGACCUUUAAAUCACCCUCAAUUCCUAAGAAUCCAGCUGGACCUUUGCUUGAAGUGUAUGAGAAAGAUUGUGGUUCCUUGGAAGAGCAGGACAUCCUGGCAUCACAGUGCUGUCUAUGAUGGAGACUUCUCAAUGUAAUGGUUAUGACAUUUUAUGCACAACAGACCUUUAUCUUUCCUGUUGCAGUUAUCUAUAGGGGGGUUGGAGUACGAUCGUUGACUGUAGGAGUAUCUGCUGUGUGGUGGGCUGUCACAAGUAUGUGAAAGACUUACUGGCACCAUGCAGAGGUUCCUGUAGAUGGAGGUUUCUGUCCCACCUGGUCUGUACAGACCUCCAGCCCUCUAUGGUUUGCUAGUUGUGAGCUCCAUUCUCUGACCGACCCCAAGACAGGCUUUGUUUAAGAAAGGUAUCACCACAGGUUCCAAUAGUAUCUGAGUAAGCAGUCAUUAUCCAAGAUGUGUCUUUUUAAAAUGCUGACUACCUCAGUCAUGGACUUGAGUGGCCUUGCUCUAUCUCAGUGUCAGUGUCUCCAGCGUCUCAGGAGUGAGCCUUAACU
rnacentral:lncRNA from 1 species